rnacentral:rRNA from 1 species
UCUACGCGGUUACCCGGUGCCUUACACCUGCUUCUCGGACGGCAGCGGGGGAGAAGCUUGCUUUUCCUGCCGGCGAGUGGCGAACGGGUGAGUAAUACAUCGGAACGUGCCCUGUAGUGGGGGAUAACUAGUCGAAAGAUUAGCUAAUACCGCAUACGACCUGAGGGUGAAAGUGGGGGACCGCAAGGCCUCAUGCUAUAGGAGCGGCCGAUGUCUGAUUAGCUAGUUGGUGGGGUAAAGGCCUACCAAGGCGACGAUCAGUAGCUGGUCUGAGAGGACGAUCAGCCACACUGGGACUGAGACACGGCCCAGACUCCUACGGGAGGCAGCAGUGGGGAAUUUUGGACAAUGGGCGAAAGCCUGAUCCAGCAAUGCCGCGUGUGUGAAGAAGGCCUUCGGGUUGUAAAGCACUUUUGUCCGGAAAGAAAUGGCUCUGGUUAAUACCUGGGGUCGAUGACGGUACCGGAAGAAUAAGGACCGGCUAACUACGUGCCAGCAGCCGCGGUAAUACGUAGGGUCCAAGCGUUAAUCGGAAUUACUGGGCGUAAAGCGUGCGCAGGCGGUUGUGCAAGACCGAUGUGAAAUCCCCGAGCUUAACUUGGGAAUUGCAUUGGUGACUGCACGGCUAGAGUGUGUCAGAGGGGGGUAGAAUUCCACGUGUAGCAGUGAAAUGCGUAGAGAUGUGGAGGAAUACCGAUGGCGAAGGCAGCCCCCUUG